AUUUCUGUCAUUUCUAAAAUAGAAACUAGAGACAUAUAUUGUAAAUCCGCCCCCUCCUUUUCUAAGCAGCAUGAAUAAGCAUGAUGGGGACUUUUACUUAAAACUGAUUUAUGCCACUUGUUGCCAGAAAGGAUUCAAUUCUGAAAUUUUUCAUGUAGUUUAGUAGAUAGGGUGUUGAGCCAAAUCAGAACCAGGUUGGCUGGUUUUGUUUUCAUUUUCUUCACAGCACAAUGGCCCUUUGAAACCUGGCUAUAGAGAAAAAUGAUGCUUCUUGUAUCAGAAUAAUUGCAAACUAGACAUGCAAAGUGUUCAUCUGCUGGGUGGGUGUUUGGAUUACUCUGGCCCUGCUAUUGUCUGAGAGGAAACAAGUGGUUUGCUUUCUUUGUUCCUUGACUUCAUAAACUUUCUCCUCUACAUUUUCCUGUUCGGGGCGAGGGAAAGAAAAGAACAUCUUGCAAAACUCCCCGGCUUAUCAUAAACAUAGUUUUUUUUAUUAUUUAUUUUCUUUUUUCCCCUCUCUCUCCCUCUGCCUGAAUUCCAUUUCUUAAACUGGCAGCGCGGGUCCAAGCCUGUAGCCCCAAAUCGGAUAAUCUCUGCAGCUGAUAACAAGCAAAAGAGAAGCCAGGCAACAGCCAUAUUAAAGAAGAAAACAAUCAACUCUGAGAUCCAACUUAGAAAUAAUGUUUCAUUCAAGAUAAGGCUCGUGGUUUAGGAGAUUGUGACCUGGCUUGCAUCAUUCUAAGACUUCUAUCAUCGGUUUUCAAAACCCAAGGAGGACCUCAUUCUCUGUGUGAUAGUUCCUCAUGCUUUGCCAGCCACUGGGUCUUUAAGGAAGCUUGCCAAGAGUUCCCAGCUGGGAAGGACAGUUCGAGUUCAUCAUAGACAGUGAGCUGGCACCACAGUUUAAGUGACUCACCAACCUGGUUGUCCACUUCAAAAUGUCAAGAACCACACUAUCUAAUUGAAAGAACUGUGUUUUAGCAAAGUGUAAUUGGAUCGCAUGGCAAGAUCAUCUCAAACUAUGUCUCUGACCUUGCCUUUCAGUGGCUGUUUGGAGCACAAGAGGAGAAAGGAAAUGAUUCCUGAAUUACAUAUUGCUUUUAAAAAUUAAGAUUAAUUAGUGGCCGGGCGCGGUGGCUCAAGCCUGUAAUCCCAGCACUUUGGGAGGCCGCGACGGGUGGAUCACGAGGUCAGGAGAUCAAGACCAUCCUGGCUAACACGGUGAAACCCCGUCUCUACUAAAAAACACAAAAAACUAGUCAAGGAGGUGGGCGUGGCUUCAGUCCCAGCUACCGAGGCUGAGGCAGGAGAAUGGCGUGAAACCCGGGAGGCGGAGCUUGCAGUGAGCUGAGAUCUGGCCACUGCACUCCAGCCUGGGUGACAGAGCAAGACUCCAUCUCAAAAAAAAAAAAAAACAAAUUAAGAUUAAUUAAUAAAUACUUGGUUUAUGUUCAUUCCAUUGUAGAACUUAAUGAUUUAUUACAAAACAGUCAAAAUAGGGUCAUAGCAAAAUGAACAUUUAAGAUUAGGUUAAAACAUUAUAACA
rnacentral:lncRNA from 1 species